GCUCAGUAACACGUGGAUAACAUGCCCUAGAGUGGAGGAUAAUCUCGGGAAAUUGAGGAUAAUACUCCAUAGAUCAUGGAAUCUGGAACGAUUCAUGGUUCAAAGUUCCGGCGCUCUAGGAUUGGUCUGCGGCUUAUCAGGUUGUAGUGGGUGUAACGGACCCACUAGCCAGUGACGAGUAUGGGCCUUGAGAGAGGGAGCCCAGAGAUGGAUUCUGAGACACGAAUCCAGGCCCUACGGGGCGCAGCAGUCGCGAAAACUUCACAAUGGGGGCAACCCCGAUGAGGGAACUCCUAGUGCUAUCGCUAUUUUGUGAUAGCUUUUCUUAAGCGUAGAUAACUUAAGGAAUAAGGGCUGGGUAAGACGGGUGCCAGCCGCCGCGGUAAUACCCGCAGCCCAAGUGGUGGUCGAUUUUAUUGAGUCUAAAACGUUCGUAGCCGGUUCAUUAAAUCCUUGGGUAAAUCGGGAAGCUUAACUUUCCGACUUCCGAGGAGACUGGUGAACUUGGGACCGGGAGAGGCAAGAGGUACUUCUGGGGUAGGGGUAAAAUCCUGUAAUCCUAGAAGGACCACCGGUGGCGAAGGCGUCUUGCUAGAACGGAUCCGACGGUGAGGGACGAAGCCCUGGGUCGCAAACGGGAUUAGAUACCCCGGUAGUCCAGGGUGUAAACGCUGCAGACUUGGUGUUGGAGACCCUUCGUGGGUGUUCAGUGCCGGAGAGAAGUUGUUAAGUCUGCUACUUGGGGAGUACGUCCGCAAGGAUGAAACUUAAAGGAAUUGGCGGGGGAGCACCGCAACGGGAGGAACGUGCGGUUUAAUUGGAUUCAACACCGGAAAACUCACCAGCAGCGACUAUUAC
rnacentral:rRNA from 1 species